rnacentral:rRNA from 1 species
GACAGAGGGUGCAAACGUUGUUCGGAAUUACUGGGCGUAAAGCGCGUGUAGGCUGCCCUGCAAGUCGGAUGUGAAAGCCCCGGGCUCAACCUCGAGACGUCGGCGGAAACCAUCUGGCUAGAGUCCGGAAGAGGAGAGUGGAAUUCCUGGUGUAGCGGUGAAAUGCGCAGAUAUCAGGAAGAACACCCGUGGCGAAGGCGGCUCUCUGGGACGGUACUGACGCUGAGACGCGAAAGCGUGGGGAGCGAACCGG